rnacentral:tRNA from 1 species
GCCGAAAUAGCUCAGUUGGGAGAGCGUCAGACUGAAGAUCUGAAGGUCCCUGGUUCAAUUCCGGGUUUCGGCA